AACACCUGUCCUUGCCUCUCCUUUUCUCCCUAAAAUCUAUAAAGUGGGAGAGGGGAAGGCAAUGCCUGGGGACCCUGCCCAGGGAAGGUGCUGUGGGUGAGACUGCUUCUCCUUUUUUAAUAAGCUCCUGGCCUCGUCUCAGCUGCAUUGGACUGCACGAUGAAUGAUCUGUCCAAGGCUUCCUGGCAGCUGGGGGCAAAUCCAGGCGAGACGACUCCGGGCUCCAGGAGGGCUGCCUUGGUGAAGCAGGCUCUGCCCGGCACAGCGAGCGAGGAGAGGGACACAGACCCAGCAUGUGCACGCAUCCAGCCCCACGUGUGUUUGGCUCGAGCUCUCCAGGUGUUCCCAGACUCCUCUGCCACACGUUUUUUGGAGCCUCCCUUCUGGUACCUGUGGCCUCCUUGCAAUCUCACAUGAGGGAAGGGGGUCGCUGCCAUCCUGGCUACCCACCAUGAAGGGUCAUCUUCCACCGAGCUCAUCCUGGUGCUGGGGAGGAGGAACAUGGGAGCUUGCUGAGCCGGACACGGCUCCCCCCCUGCCUGGCAGAGGCACGGGGUCACUCCGUGGUGCUCCCAUCAGGGAGGAAGCCUUCCCGCGCCCCGGCAAACCCCUAGUGAAAGACAAUCAGGCUCGCUGUCACCGAGCUAAUUCCGACGGCAUAAAAGCAGUAAUGAAAUUCACGGCAGGAUUAGCCUCUCCAUCCAAUGGGCCGGCGCCACGGUGACAUAUCGUGCUUCUUGCCCGAAUGUAACACACCAUCUAAUUUACGUCGUGUAGCGAGCGGGAAUGAAAUGUUCAUAAAGAAUUGCUGAAUCUUGUCACCUUAACUGCGGCCCCGGGCUCUGAGGCAUCUGUCAGGGAGAGGAGAGAGGAGAAGGAGGCUCCUGCCUCGCAAAGCUGCGGCCGGGGCUUUGGGAAAGGGGCGAUGGCUGCAUCAAUCUUCUGGGUCUGCGCGGCGGAGAUGCAGCGCGUGGGGACGAGGGAUUCGAGAUGGAGGCAGCCAGGCUGCAGGAUGGGGCUGUGCACAUGUACGUGUGGUGCUGGGUCGGGGCUGUCGGACUGUCUCCCCCACAACCAUGUGCCUGGGAUGCAGGAGAAGGGACCUGUGGGGUGGGAGUCAGCGUUCCUGGAGAUCCCAGUGCUGGCAGCAAGGUGCACGUUCCCAAUUUCCACGCUGCACCCUAUGCAGGCACACACUGGUCACAACCCCGUGUAUUCACCCAUCUCAGGAGGUGUGAAUGUCUGUGAGCAUCCCUUCUGCUGUGGCUCGGCAGCCCUGUUCCCCCCCCCGCUCCCCUCCCCAAAUGUUUAUUUGCAGUUAAUUUUCAUGGAUCCUAAUGGCUUGGAUCCUGCUAGGGGGGAAUCACGCUUGCCUCUUCAGUCAGAAAGUUUGCAGAAAAAAUAGCCCUUUCCUGUUGUGUUUGGAGUAAUAGCGUCUUGGUGUCCGGAGGGGAGUUGGCAAGGAAACAGGGAAGUUUAUUAAGAGUAAGAGAUUAAAUUCCACCGGGUUUAAUUGGAAGUGCUUGAGCAAGCAGGGGAGGGAGCUGGCCGGUCCAGGCACCCAAAAGCAGCGCUCUCCCGGGGGGACUGGCUGCUCCCGGGGCUUUGCCAUCCCCUUCUCUGCUGGGGAUGCUGCGAGCUCUGGCUGGUUCGCUUCUUUGGGGUGCCCUGGCACCCCAGCCUCAUCUUCCUCCUCCAUCUUCAGGUAGGUUCCCACGAGGGCUCUGGAAGUGCUGGGUCAGGGGGGACAUGAGUGUGAAGCAGCUGGGAUAAGGUAGGACUAGGGGCUGUGCUUUGUUUUGGAAGCUGGUUCAGCGCAUGAUGUGUGCAAGUGGGACUUGGGUCCUGUCCCUCCUGUGCUGACCCAUGUCAUGAAAAUGUGGGUUGUGCCCUUGGGCUGGGAGAGCACAGCCCUGGAUGGGGUAUGGGUAGGUAAUGUGCAGCUGGGAUACAUUUUGGGAGAAUAACCUAAAUCUAAGAGGCCUGUUUCCAUCUUCCGUUUCAAAGGGAAUGGGAAGUGAAUCCACUUCUGGAUGCCAAUCCCUCCAUUGUCCUUCAGGUCACGGAAAAGUCUCCAAGGCAGAUUCCUAUGGAUGAAACCAUCCCUCCACCAUGGGCUGGGCUGGGUGCUGCCCAUGGGAUGAGCCGCAGCACUUUUGUGCCUUCCCAGCACUGAUACAGGUGUGCAGGGCAAUAUGGAAAUGUGCCUUUGUGGCUGCAAAAGGAGCAGAGUGCCAAAACACCGCUGCCCUCCCUGCACGUCCUUCUCCUGUCCCACGUGGAGCUGAGAGGUGUCAAACACUUUGCUCGUGAAGGUGAACGGGGGCUCACAGAGAUGUUUGGUUCACCUUCAAUUCAGCUGAAAACAAAAGUUCCAAAUUAAAGAGCAAUAAAUAAUUUAUUACUUUAUUUACUUUAAUUCGAAAAAUUGCUUCCCCCCAAAAUCAAGAUAUAUUGCUUCAAAUUAAAUGUUUCAUUAAAUCUGAAAUUAAACUUUUGGGGGCUGGGGAAAGGAAGACUUUUUAAUUUGGCCGAAACCCUGAAAACUGCCUUUUCCCAUUGCUUUAAUUACAAACUCUGGAACAAAAGUGACAAACUUUACAAAGUGCAGUUGUGCUGGUUUGGUCUCUGCUCCCACUGCUUGGAGACCAGUGGGUUUUUUUUCCUCUUUUUGGGCUCCGCAAGGCAAGGGUGGCACAGAGGUGUAGACUCGGAGCUGCAGUUCCAGAGGGAGCACGUCUCUAACCCAACCCAAACCUCACAGGACUGUGCUUUAAUCGAAGCACUGUGUGGCUCUUGGCCUCUGCAUAGUUGUGUUUCUUCACAAACUCAUGGGCAGAAUUGCCAGAGCAGCUGGCUGUGCUCCAGCUUUCACCUCUGAGAUGAAAAGUGGGAGUUUCCAAGGCAUGAGUCUUCCCAGCCUUGUCCCACUUUGUGUAACACACUGCUCUUUGUUUUAUAUACCUCUUUUUUUAAACUUUCUUUCUCUUGGCUGAUGCUCUAUGGUGGGAUUUCAUCUGUAUGCUCUAUCCUGGUCUACUGGUGUAACCUUAUCUCUGUCUUCUUGUGGUCUUCUCCAUGCGGAGGUUUUCUGCAGGUUCUCACUGGUACGAUGGUCAGUGGGACCUGCCUUGGGCAGGUGGAAGUCCAUGCAGACAAACCAAUGGGUUUGCUAGUUUUCUGGGCAGAAUGAUCUGUGU